UACGUAGGGCGCAAGCGUUGUCCGGAAUUAUUGGGCGUAAAGAGCUCGUAGGCGGCUUGUCGCGUCUGCUGUGAAAACCCGGGGCUCAACCCCGGGCCUGCAGUGGGUACGGGCAGGCUAGAGUGCGGUAGGGGAGACUGGAAUUCCUGGUGUAGCGGUGGAAUGCGCAGAUAUCAGGAGGAACACCGAUGGCGAAGGCAGGUCUCUGGGCCGUUACUGACGCUGAGGAGCGAAAGCAUGGGGAGCGAACAGG
rnacentral:rRNA from 1 species